UACAGAGACUGCAAGCGUUAUUCGGAUUCACUGGGCGUAAAGGGUGCGCAGGCGGCCAAGUGUGUGAGGCGUGAAAGCCUGGGGCUUAACCCCAGAAUUGCACCUCAAACUACUUGGCUAGAGCAUUGGAGAAGGUAGCAGAAUUCAUGGUGUAGCAGUGAAAUGCGUAGAUAUCAUGAGGAAUACCAGAGGCGAAGGCGGCUACCUGGACAAUUGCUGACGCUCAGGCACGAAAGCGUGGGGAGCAAAAGGG
rnacentral:rRNA from 1 species